UUUCCCUAAUAAAGGCGAUCGGACGGCUGAGGAGAAUCCAUGCGGGCUCGGAUGAACUGUCCAGAGCGAGGGAGGGGGUAUUUAAGCAUCUCUUCCACCAAAACCCUAACUUUAGCCGAACUUAUCUCGACGGAGAAGAAGAAAAAGGGCGGCUGGAGGAAAAGCCCAGUCGCCUACACCACCGCACUGGAGAUCCAAAAUGGACCAGUGAGUUCGAUAUUUCUUCCCAUUUCUCUGCCCUUUAGUCGCCUAACACUUUUUUGAUGUAGAAUAAUCGAAAACAACCGCGACCUGCAAGGAAGAACGACGGAGCUUAGCUGAGGCGUCGCAUUGAAAGGCCGACAUUACAAAUAAGCUUUAGUUUUUUUCCUCUUUUUUCACCGAUAAACACUUCCUAAUCAUGAUUUAAAUAGGCUUUCACAGAGAAUUGGCUAAAAAUGGCCUAAUUGAGAGGAGGAACCACCGGAGAAGGAGGACCAGGCAGCGGAGCACGACA
rnacentral:lncRNA from 1 species